CCCUUAGAUGUUCUGGGCCGCACGCGCGCUACACUGACGAAUGCAACGAGCUUAUAACCUUGGCCGAAAGGUCUGGGUAAUCUCCAAAUUUCGUCGUGAUGGGGAUAGAUUAUUGCAAUUAUUAAUCUUCAACGAGGAAUGCCUAGUAAGCGCAAGUCAUCAGCUUGCGUUGAUUACGUCCCUGCCCUUUGUACACACCGCCCGUCGCUCCUACCGAUUGAAUGGUCCGGUGAAGCGCUCGGACCGCGGCCUCUUGACGGUUUUCCGUUGAUUGGCUGUGGGAAGUUCGUUAAACCUUAUCAUUUAGAGGAAGGAGAAGUCGUAACA
rnacentral:rRNA from 1 species